rnacentral:rRNA from 1 species
GAUGAACGCUGGCGGCGUGCCUAAUACAUGCAAGUCGAGCGAACAGACGAGGAGCUUGCUCCUCUGACGUUAGCGGCGGACGGGUGAGUAACACGUGGAUAACCUACCUAUAAGACUGGGAUAACUUCGGGAAACCGGAGCUAAUACCGGAUAAUAUAUUGAACCGCAUGGUUCAAUAGUGAAAGACGGUUUUGCUGUCACUUAUAGAUGGAUCCGCGCCGCAUUAGCUAGUUGGUAAGGUAACGGCUUACCAAGGCAACGAUGCGUAGCCGACCUGAGAGGGUGAUCGGCCACACUGGAACGGAGACACGGUCCAGACUCCUACGGGAGGCAGCCGUAGGGAAUAUUCCGCAAUGGGCGAAAGCCUGACGGAGCAACGCCGAGUGAGUGAUGAAGGUCUUCGGAUCGUAAAACUCUGUUAUUAGGGAAGAACAAAUGUGUAAGUAACUAUGCACGUCUUGACGGUACCUAAUCAGAAAGCCACGGCUAACUACGUG